ACCAACUGGAUUACCUUAGUAACGGCGAGUGAAGCGGUAAAAGCUCAAAUUUGAAAUCUGGUACUUUCAGUGCCCGAGUUGUAAUUUGUAGAAUUUGUCUUUGAUUAGGUCCUUGUCUAUGUUCCUUGGAACAGAACGUCAUAGAGGGUGAGAAUCCCGUUUGGCGAGGAUACCUUUUCUUUGUAAGACUUUUUCGAAGAGUCGAGUUGUUUGGGAAUGCAGCUCAAAGUGGGUGGUAAAUUCCAUCUAAAGCUAAAUAUUGGCGAGAGACCGAUAGCGAACAAGUACAGUGAUGGAAAGAUGAAAAGAACUUUGAAAAGAGAGUGAAAAAGUACGUGAAAUUGUUGAAAGGGAAGGGCAUUUGAUCAGACAUGGUGUUUUUUGCAUGCACUCGCCUCUCGUGGGCUUGGGCCUCUCAAAAAUUUCACUGGGCCAACAUCAAUUUUGGCAGCAGGAUAAAUCAUUAAGAAUGUAGCUACUUCGGUAGUGUUAUAGCUUUUUGGAAUACUGUUAGCCGGGUAUUGAGGUAC
rnacentral:rRNA from 1 species